GUGCACACCUGCUUUAAAAUGUUGCACUGGAAAUGCUUGGUGGUUCAAGAGGUUAAUCUGCAUAACAACCCAACUGACAAAUCCACAGAUAUCAACAAUCCUACAAUCGGUUGUCUUCAGCGGAGGGUGCGUAAGAAUUCCGCAAGGAUUUCAAAACCUUUGCAGGUUUCUGGAUGAGCUGCCCCCAAUCACAAGUUUGGAUCCAUCCUGCAACAUUCAUCAAAGCCUGCAGCGCCUUGUUCUCACGAGUAACAUGAGUUUCGCAACGACGGGUCGACGCUCAUAGUCCCGAACUUCAUUGCUCUUCAACACGAUGCACUUGAGCAAUCAGCCAUGUCAUCCCGGAACAUUUCUGCCAGCCGACGCCUGCCGGAUCCUAAGACUGCCAGCUCCACACAGCAAAUCGACGAUCCCCUCGGGGUUGAGCAUUUGGGAUCGGCAGCCGAGGAGCUCCCCGUAUUGUCUCUGGAGCUCGAGAAUCUCUCGGGAGCGUCGCGAGUUUUCUUCAAGCAGUUUCAAGCUUGCGUUGAUGACUUUUUGCAUGAUGUGCCGGAGGUGUCGGCCAUCGGUGUCGUCAACUUUGGCAAGUUCCUGGCUAUGGUGUAGAAGUACGCUCUCGAGAAUUUCGGGUUGGCUCAAGAACACAGGAUUGUUGAGGGCUCUCUCGUUUACGGAUGGGCUAAGCUUGAAGUGAUCAAUGAGGCUCCACAGCUGCUGUUGCUCUUCGGCAGAACAGUUCGGUGCGGUGGAAAUCAGUUUCUCAAUGGCGCCAUAGAUAGUGUCGUGGCAGUCUCGUGCAGACGGUGGAAAGGCCUUGACGAGGCUGAUAAAUGCAUCGACGGAGAUGGAGCACUCGUUUGCGUAGAACCACAAGAAACGGUCUACGUCGCCAGCGAUCUCUUCCAGCGAUUGCUCUGUGUACUCGCCCAUGCUGAUAUAGUACUCCACCAAGGACAUUAGAGUGUCGGGCCCGAACUUGUAGUCUCGAAGGCAGGCUUCAGAGGUAUUUCAACUGCCUCCACUCUUGUGAGACAUCUUCAUCGAAACAUACCCUCUGAAGGUCUACAACUAUGGCUCAGAAACAGUUGGGGGUUGAUCUCCCAGCUCGAGAGACGUGAACCUAAUUCAAAGGAAAGGAGAGGAGGAUAUCAGGUGGUGCCAUACCU